CGCUCCCCAGGGGGAGGAGCGUGGAGGGGCGGCCCAGCUGCCCCAGUCCGGCAGCCGCGGCCCUGAUUGGACGCGGCGCGGCGCGGGUGGGAAUCUGGGAGUCCUCCACCAUCACCGCCACCCCGCCUUGCGCAACCGCGGGUCUCAUUGGCUGCGGGAAGAAAGCGCCGCGCUUGCCGCUGAUUGACUGCUUGUGGCUGUUGCGACCCGCCCCGCGGCGGUCACGUGAGGCCAGGUGGCGCGAAGCUGCGAGUGUGUGGUCGGGGAACCCGGGCCGUGCUGGGAAUGCGGGAGGGGAGGCUGUGAAUGGAGUUGCUGCAGCAAUGGCUAGCCUGUUGGGUAGCCCCUCGUGUCUUGUUGCUGUUUCCUUGAUCAGCUCCCUUGGUGUCUUUUGCUUAUGAGAUAAGAUCUAAGCAGAGCCUUGCUGCUGAAUAAAAAUCAAAGAACUCUCUAGGCAACUCCUGGCGCUUCCAACACUGGCCAGCCACACAGCUAUACUGCCUCUGAACAUGGAUGCUCUAUUUAGUUGCUGUUGGCUAUUGCAAGUGGACAGUUCUGUGGAUAGAACUGAGCAGCGGACCAAUGUGGUGGGGUGGUUAGGGUGAUGAACUACAACUGGAGAGAAUUCUGUGGAGCUCCUUCCUUGCCAUACUCCUUUAGUCCUUUGGAGAAUGAUUUGGUACCCUGUUCUAAGCUUAUAAAACAGCUUUUUACAGCUGGAUCCCCUGCAUGCUUACUCAGAAAUAAGUCCCACUGAGUUCCAUCGGACUUACUCCAAGAAAACACACUUGCUGGUGAGUGAGCCCCAUUGAACACAGCAAGACGUCCUUCCAAGUACACCUGCAUAGGCUGAGAGAUUAAGUAUCCGAGCACCAAAGAAUGUGCUGCAGAAAUGUCCUUGCUGAGACUUCCCCCGACAAUGAGCUAUUUAAAGGCACAGCCAGAAAAGCAUCUGACAAGCUUCCAGGGAUAGCAGGCCUUGCAAGAAUUGGCAGGAGAGAAACUUCUCACGAUCACCACAAUAGGGAUGUUAAAGAGCACCUUCACGUCUCUUAAAAUGGGCGGCCCCAUAUCAAGGGACAGCUUACUGUGCAGCCCAGCCCUCCAGGAAGUGGGAUUGACUGGAGUACUAUAUCACAUAUUACACAUAGGCAAUUAUAAUGUUCAUAAAAUGCUCCCCACUCCCCGAUGGCUUUUUGGAAGUAUAUGACCCUGGACACCCCUCAUACAUACAAAAUUACUAUCAUAUGAAAUUUUAAGAGAUUCGUGUAUAUGGGAUUCCCACUAAGGGUAAGAAAUACUAAGAUUAAAAAUUGAGGGAAAAUGGAAGAUACCCAUGGAGAGGAGAGAGCUUACUGAGAAACGUUGCUCCCCAGAUCUUUCUCGUAUCCAGCUACUGACCUUCUCCUAUUAUAUUCCAGAUAUUAUAGAUGCUCUCAUCUAGCAGCCUAAUUAAGGGAACAUAUUGUUUCAUACAGUAAUUUCCCCUCUGCCUUUAGGGAUAGGAUAAUUUAAAAACGUAAUAAUGUGGUUUUGUCCUUGCUAAAAGAGUUUUGUUUUGUUUUUGCAACAGAGACAACUCUGCAUCUAUCACAUUUGGUACAGAACAAACACGUUUGUCAUAGUGUUAAUAAACUAGGAAUAGAGCUUCCAACUGACCAGGGAGGAAAGCACCUGGAUUGCUCUUGUGCUGUUCAGCUUAUUUUGUAGAAAUCAGCCAUGAAGGUUUUUGUAGCACAAAGAUUAGUAUUAACAAUGGCUAAUGCCUACAGAUCACACUGCUAUUAAAGGCAGAUGUACAACAGUUGGUUAAAGAAGGUAGUAAAUAUAUAUUACACAUAUAUCCUGCUCUUCCACUUGGAGCCCAGAGCAACUACAUGAUACUGUAUAUUUUCUGGAUUGCCUCUUAAGUAUAGUAUGUUGACACUGCAGUUUUGUUAUGUUGCUAAAUGAAUUUUACAGGGUCACAAAAGAGGGUGAUGGCACCUAGCAGACUAUUCAAGGGUGCACAGAUUUAUUAAAUCACAAAAAUAUCUUUAUUCUUGGUGUGUUUCUGGCUGGAUAGCCCUUUCGGGAAAUAUUACUUAAGUGAGUCUAAGUGGACUAUUUUUUUAAAGACAGUUAUACCAAGCUCAAAUUCUCUUUAACUACAUCAGCUAAGUAACAUUUCCUCUUCAGAAGGGCCAUGUGGCUUGAAAAAUGUUAGUAUGGAGGACUGAUUAUUUUUCUAUUACAAAACUUCUCUGUACCUUCCAUAGCUUGCUUCUCAUUAAUAAUUUUUAUUGUAAAGAAGCUUGUAGUUCAACUGAGGGAUCACUUAAGCCUCUGACAAGGAUUUAUCCCAGCUUUCAAGAAACUAGAGAAUCCAACUACAUUAUGAGUGAAAUAGUUUAUGUCAAUUAUUCUCAGAUACCAGCAGUAUUCUAGUACCCAAAGGAACUUAGAGUGUUGCCUUUAUCCAUAUUAUGUGUAUCUGUUCCACAUUUUCAAUGCCACACUUUUAAAUAUUCAUAUACUUUAUCCAUUAUUAAUAUACAGAGUUAUCAAGUAGCUGUCAAGACAAUUAGUUGAUUACUGCAGUUGCAUGUGCUUCAUUUACAUUGAACUUGCCUCAAAAUUUAAAUGAGAAAUCUUAAAAUUUCACCGUGUCCUUUAAAUAACUAUCAUGCCAGACUAUCUUAAAUGACUUUUAUAUUUCUGAACAUUAAAAUAUAAGAUUGCAAUAGAAAGCCUGACUGAUAAUUUUUUAAAUUAUGACUGAGCUUAAGUGUAUUCAGCUGCAUAAAGUGUAGCCCUGGACAGAAAAUUUGCUGGGCUGUUGUUAAAAUCAUAAAUGUAGGCAACUAUGAGGUAAAUUGUAAUUCCAGUGUAAAGACAAUAAACGGAAAUCUUUCUGUUGAACAUAAG